rnacentral:lncRNA from 1 species
UCUUUCCUGGUCUUUCGAGCAGAAAUUAUGUUCCUAACAUUUUUAUCAACAAGGUUGAAGCGUUCCAGCGGAGUGAGCGCCUUGUUGUUGAAAAUCCUGUCAUUUCUUUCAGCCCAAAUGUUGUAGAUUAUAGCUUGGACUGCGAUGUUCCUCAGAGCUCUUUGUGACUUGCUGGCAUUCUGAGAACACCAAGCCAACAGCUGAGGCCAUGAAUCGAAAGU